GUUGAAUAUUAUAUUAUCAAUUACGAGAUUUAUUUAAAAUUAUUCUUUUUUUUCUAAUGAUAAUGAUUUUAUUGAAAUUGCAAAAAAUAAUAUAUCUAUUUCUGGAGAAUUCAUAAUGAUCUGAAACAUACUGAUUAAGCCGCAUAAUCGUAGAAUAAUACAGCCAGAGGCAUAGGGGCAUAUGAUCCACGAUGAGCAGCUACAAACAAAAGCUAAUAUACAUGUUACUUUGCUGAUGAUACUCGAUAUCCAAAGAAGUUCUUUAGAAGUAGAAUGAUAGAGGCCGUUCUAUUAUCAAUUCUGAAAAGAAACGAUCAAAGACCAAGUGUUUCAAGCAUCGGGCACAACAACGAUCAGCUCUCAGAGAAAAUUUGGAAGUUUGGCGAGAUUUCAUGGAUAAGCGAUCGAGUAACAUCAAGGACAAAAUAUCAAGAAUCUAACUUUUAAAUUAUCUGCAAUAUAUGCAAUAUAAUAUUGCAUAUAAUGUUGCAAUAUUAUAUGGCAUAUAAAUUUGUAGCUCUCCAUUUUUUGAAUCUUUGACUUCGAAUAUUAAAAAAAUCGAUUCAUCAUUUAUUAAGAAAACACUCGAUUCAGUGUUAUGAGAAAGGAAAAUAUUAUCGAAUAAAUUAAUAUGGAAAUCGAUAGAAAUAAAGAUUCAUUUUUUCGAUAGCCCCAUACAUCGAAUAUCAAUAAAUCGAUUUAUCUUUUAAGUAAUAGAAAUAAAUCCACACAUUAAAACAUUAAAAUAUUGGCAUUAAAACGAAAAAUAUGAUCGAACAAAUUGUUAACAUUAACAUGGCAAUGAGAUCAGUCGAUACUGAAGAAUAAUAAUAUAAAGCAUAAAAGUUUCGUUUCCGGUAACCUCAUAGAUGUCAAAACCGAUUUACUCUUUAGUCGAUUAUUCAGUGUUAUCAGAACGAAAAGUAUGAUCGAAUAGAUUGUGAAGACUAUGGCAAUCAUAGAAUUAAUAAUGGAGAUCAAUCGAUACUGAUGAAGAUCAAUGUAAAAUAUAAAAAGAUUAGUUUUCGAUAAUCUCGAUAAUAUUAAUGAUCUUUUAAUAAUAAUAGAAAAAAUUCAACUUAGACAGUAUGAAACAGAUUGUCAACAUUACGUAGAAUUAAUGAUGGAGAUCAACCAAUACUGAUGAAAAAAAAUGUAGAGCAUAGAAAAAUUCGUUUCCGGUAAUCGCGUAUAUCAAUAAACUGAUUUAUUCUUUAGUAACAAUAGAAAAUAGUCGAUUAUUCAGUGUUAUCAGAAAAGAAAUCAUCAAACAAAUUAUUAAGAUUAAACAAUCGAUUAUUAUAGAAUCAAUACACGAUGGAGAUCAAUCGGUACUGAUGAAGAUAAAUGUAAAACGUAGAAAGAUUCGAUUUUCGAUUCUGCGAUCUGACUCGAGUCAACUGAGACUAGAUAGAGCAGUCUAAAAAAAGACAUCAAUUCUAUCAUGGAGAAGUUUCAGUUGACACGGUAGUCAUUGUUGAAGGUAACAGAUAGCUUUUCUUGUUCGUCAAGGCAUUCAAAUCCAUGUGCAUCAUAUUCUUAUGGAAAGAAAACAGAUAUCAAUAGUUUGAUAUCAAUGAAAAUAUUUUGCUUAUAUAUUGCUCAUGACUUUACGAUAGAAAUAACGUGAGAAAACUUUCGAAAACAGAAUUCUCAAAAUAGAAAAUUGAUUCAAGGAGAAAGAAUCUAUACAGAUCACUGAUGGAAUUAGUAAAAUUAUCUAUUGAAAUAUGGAAUACUUCGAUAGCAAAUUGAGGUAUCUUUGUGUAUAAUCUAAAAUUGAUGUUAAAUGGAUAAGACGAUCUAAUGCGGGAACAAAUUGAGGAAUUAAACUUUGAAACAAUUUGAAACCGAAAAAUGUGACUCAACAAUACAAUUCUCUACUAUCUCUAAAGCAAAAAUCUGCAACAAAUCAUGUCGUCGGCGGUCGAACUUGGCACAAUUGACUUGGAUAUUUUACGCGAAUAACGACAUCACAAAGAGUGAGCGUGGAAAAAGCUGUAUCGUUGCAAAACUUUUAAAAGAUAUCUCAAAAUAUUUUCUAUUAGAUUUAGAUGAAUUUCGGUUGCAAAUUACUUGGAAGACAUAUAAAAGAAGAAACGUUUUCAUAAAUAGUAAAAUCACGCAACUACCGUCUCUAGUAAUUUUGC